CAUUCCGCAAGACUAUGAAGAUCACUACAAUACAACAGUUUUAACAAUACAUUUAAAUUCUGUGGCGUAAACAGUGUUGGAAGUCGUUGUUUGCUGAAUGACAAAUAAAAUGAAGUAUAAGUUCGAGUGGCCACCCCUGCAACAGUAGCAGUAGUUCUCACCGCUGCUCACCCCACAACCUACAAAGAUGUUGGCAAUAUUUGGACAUCAUCUGUGGAAACACUACACGCAGUGUUUGGAACAUACCUGACAAACAUCACCAUCAAAUAUAAGGCUGCAACAUACUGGCUGAAGAUGGUUGAAAAAGAUAAGAUGGCAGAAAUCAAAGGUGAGCACAUCCAUAUAUUGGAACAACUAAGACUUUGGACAAAGAUACAGGCAAAGGGAGUAA